rnacentral:tRNA from 1 species
GACUCCAUGGCCUAAUAGAUAAGGUGUUGGUCUAAGAAACCAAAGAUUCUGGGUAUGAUCCCCAGUGGAGCCA